CGGCCGGGGACAUACCGCGCUCCCUCUCCGGGGGCGGGACCACGCCGCGGGCACGCCCACUUCGCCAGCUCCUAUUGGCUGAGAUUCCCGACCUCUCUUCUGAUUGGGGGCUGGAGCAGUCAAACUUCCCUCGGCGUUGGGUGGGCACCGCGGCGGGCGGCGGAGCGGCCGGAGGCGGGGAGAGGCGUGGAAUGGACGCGCGAGGCGGGGAGCGGCCGGGCCUCGGGGCAGCCGCCUCCCUCUCGCCGUGCGCACCCCGCGGCCGCUCUACUGCGGAGCCCCGGGCUCAGGGGUCGUCAUGGACACGGCGGAUAGGCCCCCGGGCUCCCUCCCGCUGCUGAGGAGACCGGGCGGGCGGCGGGACCCGGCGACGGCAAGAACAGCAUGUCCCACAAAGAGGCUGUCCUUCCCUGGGUCCCAGGAUGAUGGCACGAAGCUGAAGGUAACUGCCACUGACAGCAUGAAGAGAGAGACACCUGACCGUCAGCCACGUAUUUAGAGCACAUGGAAGGUGUGUCUGCUUGGAAGGAGCUCGAGUACUCAUUUGUGAUGGAAAAUUACAGGAGCCUGCCAGAAAAGAAUUACUGCAGAGUACUGCCCUUCACAGGGGAGUUGAAAGUACCUUCUGUAGACUUUGCUUCGUCCCGGAAGGACGUCCAGAAGGACAUCAGGUCUAAUUAGCAUAUUAUGCUUUUAUUAUUAUAGAUGUGAGAAUGUAUGGAAUAAAAACAAGAGACUACUAAAAAUUAAAAUCUACCCACUUCUGAAUGCUAUUAUUUACAUGAAUACAUUAAAACAAGAAAGUGUUUUACUCCAAAUAUGAGAUACUGUAUAGCAUAUUAAUACCAAGUAUGAGGUGAGAGUAUAAAAGUGUUAAACGAUUUUGUAAAUAAAUAUUAUAGCACAUAUAUUCAAAGAAUUCAGCAGAUGAAAGUUAUGUGC